rnacentral:rRNA from 1 species
GACGAACGCUGGCGGCGUGCUUAACACAUGCAAGUCGAACGGUGAAGGGACUGGUUUUGCUGGUCCUGGAUGAGUGGCGAACGGGUGAGUAACACGUGAGUAACCUGCCCCCUUCUUCUGGAUAACCGCAUGAAAGUGUGGCUAAUACGGGAUAUUCUGGGUCUGUCGCAUGGUGGGCCUGGGAAAGAUUGCGCCUUUUUUGGUGUUUUUGGUGGGGGAUGGGCUCGCGGCCUAUCAGCUUGUUGGUGGGGUGAUGGCCUACCAAGGCGGUGACGGGUAGCCGGCCUGAGAGGGUGGACGGUCACACUGGGACUGAGACACGGCCCAGACUCCUACGGGAGGCAGCAGUGGGGAAUAGUGCACAAGGGGCGCAAGCCUGAUGCAGCGACGCCGCGUGAGGGAUGGAGGCCUUCGGGUUGUGAACCUCUUUCGCCAGUGAAGCAGGCCUGCCUCUUUUUGUGGGUGGGUUGACGGUAGCUGGAUAAGAAGCGCCGGCUAACUACGUG